rnacentral:misc_RNA from 1 species
CCAUGCUUGGCAAUGCCAGCAGCAUGAAUCUUAAGGAUUUCCAUUCGUGACUGUUCAUUUGGCAGUGGAAUCUCUAUUUUUCUAUCUAAUCGCCCAGGACGUAGAAGUGCAGGGUCGAGAACAUCAGGUCUGUUUGUUGCCAUUAUCAUUUUAACCUUCCCAAGCUGAUCAAAUCCAUCAAGCUGAUUAAGUAACUCCAUCAGCGUUCUUUGAAUUUCACGAUCAGCACUUGUUCCCUCACUGAAACGGCGCCCACCAAUGGCAUCAAUCUCAUCCAUGAA